AUUGAACGCUGGCGGCAGGCCUAACACAUGCAAGUCGAACGGUAACAGGAAGAAGCUUGCUUCUUUGCUGACGAGUGGCGGACGGGUGAGUAAUGUCUGGGAAACUGCCUGAUGGAGGGGGAUAACUACUGGAAACGGUAGCUAAUACCGCAUAACGUCGCAAGACCAAAGAGGGGGACCUUCGGGCCUCUUGCCAUCGGAUGUGCCCAGAUGGGAUUAGCUAGUAGGUGGGGUAACGGCUCACCUAGGCGACGAUCCCUAGCUGGUCUGAGAGGAUGACCAGCCACACUGGAACUGAGACACGGUCCAGACUCCUACGGGAGGCAGCAGUGGGGAAUAUUGCACAAUGGGCGCAAGCCUGAUGCAGCCAUGCCGCGUGUAUGAAGAAGGCCUUCGGGUUGUAAAGUACUUUCAGCGGGGAGGAAGGGAGUAAAGUUAAUACAUUUGCUCAUUGACGUUACCCGCAGAAGAAGCACCGGCUAACUCCGUG
rnacentral:rRNA from 1 species